rnacentral:rRNA from 1 species
UAAGGAAUAUUGGUCAAUGGACGCAAGUCUGAACCAGCCAUGCCGCGUGAAGGAUGAAGGUCCUCUGGAUUGUAAACUUCUUUUAUCUGGGACGAAAACGGGAUUUUUAUCUCAAUUGACGGUACCAGAGAAAGCCCCGGCUAACUACGUGCCAGCAGCCGCGGUAAUACGUAGGGGGCAAGCGUUGUCCGGAUUUACUGGGUGUAAAGGGCGCGCAGGCGGGAUAAAAAGUCAGUGGUGAAAUCCUACAGCUUAACUGUAGAACUGCCUUUGAUACUUUUAUUCUUGAGUUCGGGAGAGAGAGACGGAAUUCCAGGUGUAGUGGUGAAAUACGUAGAUAUCUGGAAGAACACCAGUUGCGAAGGCGGUCUCUUGGUCCGACACUGACGCUGAGGCGCGAAAGCGUGGGGAGCAAACA